rnacentral:lncRNA from 1 species
AAAUUAAACUGGAUGAAGAACCAUUUUUAUAAAUAGCUGGCAACAAGUAAUCUCGUCAACUUGACAUCCGUUUCUAGUCUCGUGCGAUUCGGAAAUGGCUACGAUGGGAAAACAAGGUUCUAUUUGGCCUAAGUGGCAAAUUGCAUUAGCUAUAGGUACACCAUUAGCUAUUGGAUUAGCUUAUUGGUAUUUAAGGAGUUGUAAAUAUUCAAAUAAUAAAAAACCAAAAAUUGUCGAUAGCGAAAAGAAAAAAGAAUCCAAUACAAUUGGAGCAGAAGGGGACCAAGAGGGAACUGUGCCACAGGUUUCAAAUUUAUUUUAUGACAGUAUUUAUGUACUUUAACACUAUAUAAAACUUAUAUAUUUUUAAUGAUUAUUAUUAAAAUUGGAUAUAUGUUUUAACAGUUUUGUAAUUUAAAAGACAA